AGGUAGGAAUACCCGUUGAACUUAAGCAUAUCAAUAAGCGGAGGAAAAGAAACCAACAGGGAUUGCCUUAGUAACGGCGAGUAAGCGGCAACAGCUCAAAUUUGAAAUCUGGCUUCGGCCCGAGUUGUAAUUUGCAGAGGAUGUUUAUGGUGCGGUACCUUCCGAGUUCCCUGGAACGGGACGCCACAGAGGGUGAGAGCCCCGUCUGGUUGGAUACUAAACCUGUGUUAAACUCCUUCAACGAGUCGAGUAGUUUGGGAAUGCUGCUCUAAACGGGAGGUAAAUCUCUUCUAAAGCUAAAUAUUGGCCAGAGACCGAUAGCGCACAAGUAGAGUGAUCGAAAGAUGAAAAGCACCUUGAAAAGGGGGUUAAACAGUACGUGAAAUUGUUGAAAGGGAAGCGUUUAUGACCAGACUUGUGCCGUGUGGCUCAUCCGAGGUUCUCCCCGGUGCACUCCACACGGUCCAGGCCAGCAUCGGUUUUCGCCGGGGGAUAAGAACGGUAGGAACGUAGCUCCCCUCGGGGAGUGUUAUAGCCUACCGUACGAUACCCUGGCGGGGACCGAGGACCGCGCUUCGGCUAGGAUGUUGG
rnacentral:rRNA from 1 species